CUUCGGCCCGAGUUGUAAUUUGCAGAGGAUGUUUAUGGUGCGGUACCUUCCGAGUUCCCUGGAACGGGACGCCACAGAGGGUGAGAGCCCCGUCUGGUUGGAUACCAAACCUGUGUUAAACUCCUUCAACGAGUCGAGUAGUUUGGGAAUGCUGCUCUAAAUGGGAGGUAAAUCUCUUCUAAAGCUAAAUAUUGGCCAGAGACCGAUAGCGCACAAGUAGAGUGAUCGAAAGAUGAAAAGCACCUUGAAAAGGGGGUUAAACAGUACGUGAAAUUGUUGAAAGGGAAGCGUUUAUGACCAGACUUGUGCCGUGUGGCUCAUCCGAGGUUCUCCCCGGUGCACUCCACACGGCUCAGGCCAACAUCGGUUUUCGCUGGGGGAUAAGAACAGUAGGAACGUAGCUCCCCUCGGGGAGUGUUAUAGCCUAUUGUACGAUACCCUGGCGGGGACCGAGGACCGCGCUUCGGCUAGGAUGUUGGCGUAAUGGUCAUUAGCGACCCGUCUUGAAACACGGACCAAGGAGUCGUCCAUUAGAGCGAGCGUUUGGGUGUAAAACCCGCACGCGUAAUGAAAGUGAAAUAAGGUGAGAGCUUCGGCGCAUCAUCGACCGAUCCUGAAGUUUACGGAUGGAUUUGAGUAAGAGUUUUAACGGACGGACCCGAAAGACAGUGAACUAUGCUUGAAUAGGGUGAAGCCAGAGGAAACUCUGGUGGAGGCUCGCAGCGGUUCUGACGUGCAAAUCGAUCGUCAAAUUUGAGCAUGGGGGCGAAAGACUAAUCGAACUGUCUAGUAGCUGGUUACCGCCGAAGUUUCCCUCAGGAUAGCAGUGUUGACCUUCAGUUUUAUGAGGUAAAGCGAAUGAUUAGGGACUCGGGGGCGCUUAUUAGCCUUCAUCCAUUCUCAAACUUUAAAUAUGUAAGAAGCCCUUGUUACUUAAUUGAACGUGGGCAUUCGAAUGUACCAACACUAGUGGGCCAUUUUUGGUAAGCAGAACUGGCGAUGCGGGAUGAACCGAACGGGGGGUUAAGGCGCCAGAAUGUACGCUCAUCAGACACCACAAAAGGCGUUAGUACAUCUUGACAGCAGGACGGUGGCCAUGGAAGUCGGAAUCCGCUAAGGACUGUGUAACAACUCACCUGCCGAAUGUACUAGCCCUGAAAAUGGAUGGCGCUCAAGCGUACUGCCCAUACCCCCCCUUCAGGGUAGAAACGAUGCC
rnacentral:rRNA from 1 species